AAAUAUUCCUGUGCCGAUAUGUAGUGCGAUGUGGGGACGGAGAUGGUUAACUCAGCCGGGUGUUGGAUGUCCCGGUUCAAGCGUGUAGUCGUGUCCCUUAGGCAAAUCCGGGGGAAUUAGAUGAGGCGUGAUAACGAGGAGGCUUGCCUCUGAAGUGAGUGAUACCCUGCUUCCAGGAAAAGCCACUAAGCUCCAGCUACAUACGACCGUACCGCAAACCGACACUGGUGCGCGAGAUGAGUAUUCUAAGGCGCUUGAGAGAACUCUGGAGAAGGAACUCGGCAAAUUGACACCGUAACUUCGGAAGAAGGUGUGCCUUUAGUAGGUGAUCCAUUUACUUGGUGAGCCCAAUGAGGCCGCAGAGAAUCGGUGGCUGCAACUGUUUAUUAAAAACACAGCACUCUGCAAAGACGAAAGUCGACGUAUAGGGUGUGACGCCUGCCCGGUGCUGGAAGAUUAAAUGAUGGGGUGCAAGCUCUUGACUGAAGUCCCAGUAAACGGCGGCCGUAACAAUAACGGUCCUAAGGUAGCGAAAUUCCUUGUCGGGUAAGUUCCGACCUGCACGAAUGGCGUAAUGAUGGCCACACUGUCUCCUCCAGAGACUCAGCGAAGUUGAAAUGUUUGUGAUGAUGCAAUCUCCCCGCGGAAAGACGGAAAGACCCCAUGAACCUUUACUGUAGCUUUACAUUGGACUUUGAACAGAUCUGUGUAGGAUAGGUGGGAGGCUUUGAAGCGGUGCCGCUAGGUGUCGUGGAGCCAACGUUGAAAUACCACCCUGGUGUGUUUGAGGUUCUAACCUUGGCCCGUUAUCCGGGUUGGGGACAGUGUAUGGUGGGCAGUUUGACUGGGGCGGUCUCCUCCCAAAGCGUAACGGAGGAGUUCGAAGGUACGCUAGCCACGGUCGGAAAUCGUGGUGAUAGUGCAUUGGCAUAAGCGUGCCUGACUGCGAGACUGACAAGUCGAGCAGGUACGAAAGUAGGACAAAGUGAUCCGGUGGUUCUGUAUGGAAGGGCCAUCGCUCAACGGAUAAAAGGUACUCUGGGAUAACAGGCUGAUACCGCCCAAGAGUUCAUAUCGACGGCGGUGUUUGGCACCUCGAUGUCGGCUCAUCUCAUCCUGGGGCUGUAGCCGGUCCCAAGGGUAUGGCUGUUCGCCAUUUAAAGAGGUACGUGAGCUGGGUUUAAAACGUCGUGAGACAGUUUGGUCCCUAUCUUCCGUGGGCGCUGCAAGAUUGAGAGAGCCUGCUCCUAGUACGAGAGGACCGGAGUGGACGCACCUCUGGUGUAUCGGUUGUCACGCCAGUGGCAUUGCCGAGUAGCUAUGUGCGGAAGAGAUAACCGCUGAAAGCAUCUAAGCGGGAAACUCGUCUCAAGAUGAGUCUUGCCGGGGCCUUGAGCCCCCUGAAGGGUCGUUCGAGACCAGGACGUUGAUAGGCUGGGUGUGGAAGCGCAGUAAUGCGUUAAGCUAACCAGUACUAAUUGCCCGUGAGGCUUGAC
rnacentral:rRNA from 1 species